rnacentral:rRNA from 1 species
UACGAAGGGGGCUAGCGUUGCUCGGAAUCACUGGGCGUAAAGCGCACGUAGGCGGUCUUUUAAGUCAGGGGUGAAAUCAUGGAGCUCAACUCCAGAACUGCCCUUGAUACUGAGAGGCUUGAGUUCGGGAGAGGUGAGUGGAACUGCGAGUGUAGAGGUGAAAUUCGUAGAUAUUCGCAAGAACACCAGUGGCGAAGGCGGCUCACUGGCCCGAUACUGACGCUGAGGUGCGAAAGCGUGGGGAGCAAACAGG